UAGAGGCGGCAAGCGUUGUCCGGAAUUAUUGGGCGUAAAGAGCUCGUAGGCGGUUUGUCGCGUCUGCUGUGAAAGCCCGGGGCUCAACCCCGGGUCUGCAGUGGGUACGGGCAGACUAGAGUGCAGUAGGGGAGACUGGAAUUCCUGGUGUAGCGGUGAAAUGCGCAGAUAUCAGGAGGAACACCGAUGGCGAAGGCAGGUCUCUGGGCUGUUACUGACGCUGAGGAGCGAAAGCAUGGGGAGCGAACAGGAUUAAUACCCCGUGUAGUC
rnacentral:rRNA from 1 species